GAUGAAGAACGUAGCGAAAUGCGAUAAGUAAUGUGAAUUGCAGAAUUCAGUGAAUCAUCGAAUCUUUGAACGCACAUUGCGCCCGUCAGUAUUCUGGCGGGCAUGCCUGUUCGAGCGUCAUUACGCCCCUCAAGUCCCCUGUGGACUUGGUGUUGGGGAUCGGCGAGGCUGGUUUUCCAGCACAGCCGUCCCUUAAAUUAAUUGGCGGUCUCGCCGUGGCCCUCCUCUGCGCAGUAGUAAAACACUCGCAACAGGAGCCCGGCGCGGUCCACUGCCGUAAAACCCCCCAACUUUUUAUAGUUGACCUCGAAUGAGGUAGGACUACCCGCUGAACUUAAGCAUAUCAAUAAGCGGAGGA
rnacentral:misc_RNA from 1 species